UCCAGACUCCUACGGGAGGCAGCAGUGGGGAAUAUUGCACAAUGGGGGGAACCCUGAUGCAGCGACGCCGCGUGGGUGAAGGAGCACCUCGGUGCGUAAAGCCCUAUCGGCAGGGAAGAAAAGCGAACAGGUUCGCCUGGACGGUACCUGACUAAGAAGCCCCGGCUAACUACGUGCCAGCAGCCGCGGUAAUACGUAGGGGGCAAGCGUUAUCCGGAUUUACUGGGUGUAAAGGGAGCGUAGGCGGCGAUGCAAGUCAGAAGUGAAAGCCCGGGGCUCAACUCCGGGACUGCUUUUGAAACUGUAUGGCUAGAUUGCAGGAGAGGCAAGUGGAAUUCCUAGUGUAGCGGUGAAAUGCGUAGAUAUUAGGAGGAACACCAGUGGCGAAGGCGGCUUGCUGGACUGUAAAUGACGCUGAGGCUCGAAAGCGUGGGGAGCAAACAGGAUUAGAUACCCCAGUACG
rnacentral:rRNA from 1 species